UACAGAGGGGGCAAGCGUUAUUCGGAAUUAUUGGGCGUAAAGGGCGCGUAGGCGGCUUUUCAAGUGACGGGUGAAAUCCCUCGGCUUAACCGAAGAACUGCCUGUCAGACUGGAAGGCUUGAGACCGGGAGAGGUGAGUGGAAUUCCCAGUGUAGCGGUGAAAUGCGUAGAUAUUGGGAGGAACACCAGUGGCGAAGGCGGCUCACUGGACCGGAACUGACGCUGAGGCGCGAAAGCGUGGGGAGCAAACAGG
rnacentral:rRNA from 1 species